ensembl:lncRNA LUARIS lncRNA upregulator of antiviral response interferon signaling
CAGCCUUCAUGAAGAGCCCAUGGCAACUCUGUGGGAAUCCUUCCAGCAGCCCGCUUAUGGCUGGAGACAGAGGUGUGGCUUCUAUCUAAGCUUUUCCCUCUGACUCAGUCCAGGAGGCAACUGUCUUGGGAAGCAAAUGAUAACAGCAUCUGGGAGAUUCUCUUCUGGAUGGACUAGCAGGGAAUCAGGACAUGAACUCAGUGGACUAACUGCACCGAGACUCACCUGGUCAUUACUUGAAGGUCAUUACUUAAACCUCCAUGAAUCUCCUGAUGAACUCCCUCAGAAGGUGGAAGGAGCACCUGACACCGACCCGAGAUCAGCAGCAGCUACGCCCACGCUGUGGGCAGUUAAGAGGCAGCCAGUGGUACCAGUCGUGAGCGAUCAGAUUUGAGGACUCAGGAUUCUGGUUUCCUGAGUGUCAUGGACCUGCGGGCUGCAGAAAUGACAGCGACAGGUCUUCAGGCAGGUGCCACAGCACCCACACACUGCCAGCAUUUUGUGCAAAAUACCCAAAGCCACAUCACCAGAUCUGGGCUCUCCUAGCUUCCCUUUGCUAAAAUGCUGGCCAAAGAGCUUAACGAGCCACUCAGGGGCACAAGAUAGGUGAAACCUGCAUGUUUUGUUUGUUAAACUAUUUGCCACAUGGCACAAGAAAAUAACAAAAAAUAAACAAAAGGAAUAACUGCAGCAUCAUGGUUUUGUUAAGAUGUCCCAAAGCUGAUCAGGGCUUCCUGUUGAAAUCUAAAUGAGACUCUUCCUAGGUGGCUUACAUUCAGUCAGCUGUGGCUCUGUGCAAAGAAAACCAGUUUCCCUUGCUCAGAAAUUUGGAGCCACUGAUAAGAGAAGAAAAGUGUGAUUCCACAUGGAGGGUCAUGAUACAAUCUGAUCUCUGACCCCGUGGAGGUGAAGGGGCUUGUUCUGCAUGCCAGGCUGAGGACUCUCGGGACUGAGGCAUUCAGAGUCGCAGCUUUAAAUCAUAAGGGUUCCCUGCCCAUUUCAUCACAAGUCAGCAGCAUCCAAAGAGUGGCGUUGAAGAAAAUCUCAUCACCGUGGGCUCAGUUUAGAUUGCUAGUCGGCUCAGAAAGCUACCUGCAAUUGCGUUUCCAGGAUGCACCACAAAUACUCUCCACAUGAGGGAGAACAUCAGUGGAUGAAACUCAGCAUGCUUAGUGCGGGGCCAAGUCCUCUAACAAAGGACACAGCGGUUAACCUGCAUUUCGAGGACAGGCACUGUCAAGCCCUCAUCAGGGAUCCAUCCAGAGAACUUUGGUAAUUCUUGCAAAAUCCCUGUAUCACACAAUUUCCUUCCUUAAUGUGAUGAAGUGUAACGGACACAUCUAUAAAGCUUCUUCAGUCCUGCAAUGCAUAGAUGAGCAGAAGGCCACAAAGCCAGGUCAUAGCACUCUCUACCAUCAGAAUGGAGCCUGCCUGAAUGUGAGCUCAGUGAGAGGCAGAUUCCAUUCUUGGGCCCGUCCACGGUGACUUGUCUGCUCUGCUCCAUCAUCCACUUAUUCACAAGUUCUGGGGCAACAAAGGGCACGUUUUGUUUCAUCUUGUGCCAAACCCUCGAUGUGUACUCACUCACUCUACCUCAUCUCAAGAACUUCAGGGCUGGGAGUGCAUUUGGAGAGAAGGCAUGUGCAAUAUCUGGAAGCCUUAGCACAGGUGGGUUAUACUGAUGCUCUAUAGCCAAACUAUAGGAACUUGGGUUCUAAGGCCAGCAGGCCCAGGUGUCACCCCAAUGGCUCCCUUCAACAGCAGCAUAAAUAAGUCAUGUCAGAAGAACUCACAUUAGCCAUCUCCAGGACUCAUUUCCCUCUCAACAGCAGGAGCUCCUGCAGUCAGAACAGCGGUAAUUUUCAAAUCAGGCAUGUGGUGAUGCAGCAGGAAAGUGCCUGCAUCCCAGGUGUCCCAGCAGCUUUCUGGAGACCUCUAAUACCCACAUCUGCACCACAAAACUGCACAGCAUUGAGUGAUACCAAUCUUCUUAUACAUAUAGGUAAGUGGUAAUAGAAUGCCUCAACAGCAGACCACCCAGGAACCAAAGACAUACUGGAUUUUCAAGUCAGAAGAAUGCUUAGAGAUCAUCUGACCCAAUAGCCAUAUUUUACAGUAAGAUGCAGAAGCCAGUGUCCACAGUGCUAAAGCCACUGGUCCAAGGUGAAAGAAUUUCAAACCCAUAAAUACCUCCAAGAAGCUUCCACUGGGACCCUAUGAUUUUAGUAAAAUUAUCAACAUUCAUGACCUAUGUCUACUGAUCUUAGCGUCUUCUCAGUAGGCAAUUAUUCUUUCUCACAUCAAUUUGCAGUUGCUAUAUUAUCAGCAUCCUUGGUAAAUCCAUCUUGUGUUCUGGGUGAAGACUAACAGAUUCUUCCUUCUUGGACUCUGUCAUUCACUCUCAUCCCUCAUAACAUCUGGCCACUGCUCUAAACACAGUGGCCUUUGAGAAAUGCUGCUGAAUUCUGACUAAGAAAGAGGAGAACUUUCAAAUACAAGAAAGUGAACAUUAUAGAGCUUACCACUCAAGAUGGUUUUCUACAAAUGCGGACAUGGGGCUGAUCUGCACCGUGUAAGUAUCAUUUGCCGAGUACUCAAAGAGUCCAUAGUAAGGGUUGAAGAGCUCCUGAGACAGAAGGAAGAAGAACUCCCGCGAGGGGCCACUGUAGUCCAGGCUGCAAAGAAAGCAGAGGUCCAGGAAGCUCAUUCUGUGCCCGGAGGUGGGGGGACCUGUUUGCACCCAGAUUCUAGUGUGCCCUUUCAGAGUUGGGUGCUGGGGAAAGCAGAGAGCAGCCUCUGCUCUUUGGAGUGAAUGCCAAUGGCAGCAUCAAUUUGCUGUAGAAAAUGAGGAUGCAGUAAUUGGUUUGGAGAUGUUUCUUAACCAGAUGUCCAUGAAUAAACUCUUAUGGCAGCUUU